AUUUUAUUAUAUGUAGGUACACAGUAUAUAUACAGUAUGUUAUAUUGUAUUACUAUUACAUACGCGUGUGCACAAUUUUUUUUCUGCAAUAGGUUUUGUGUUUUCGUUUGUUUUUGUUUUUUUUUAAUAGGCACCUUCGAAUGAACAGCGAGGCGUCUCGCGGAGAGUAAACAUAACAAUAAUUACGUGUUAUAAAAAAAUCUAAUUGCAUUAUAUUAUACGGGUAUACCUAUCGUACAAUCAUCGUACAAUAAUAAUAAUACAACUAUUAUCGUAUAAUGACGUACAUUGCAUAUUAUAAUAUACGUAUUACGUACUUAUAUUACCUAUACGGACUAUAAUUUGGCCAGACGACUACUAUUCCGGAUAGAGCAAAUAUAAAUAGGCGCCGGGUCUCGCAAAAAUCAAAUUCAAAAAUAUAAAAAAAAAAAAUU